GAAAAACGUCGGUUCGACCGUAACCGGAAGGCGGAGAACGACCAGCAGGAUCCGGACAUCACCACGAUAUUCGACAUUCUCCGGUGCCGAUUUCGGAUUGCACCGAGCAAGAAUUCAACGGUUCUGGCGGCUGCUGGUUGUCCCGCCCAUCAAAACGGUUCGGAAAACGCUGCGGGGAAGGCCUUGGACGCUCAGACACAGCGCUCCUUUCAAAGCUGCAAAAAAACUUUGAGCGGGCUGAUUGCCGAAGACCAACGGGCAGAGCCAGUCAGUCGGAGCGCACUACAUCGCAUUGGCAUUAGGGAAGACCCAUAGCAUAACAGCCCCAAUAUCGGGGCUUUUCUUUGCUUUUUUGUUUCCCCUCUUUAGUCCCCAGCAGCCAAGCCGUAGCCACGCCACGUCAACUCACGUCAGUACGCGUCACUGUUCGCCAGUCACCCGGGCCUGGUCCGACAAGCGAUCCACAUCCGUGUCGGCCAACCGGGCAGCAGCAACAAUAACAGCCAUCUGGGCCUGGUCCGACAAGCGAUCCACAUCCGGGUCGUCAACGAGCACCGCAGCAGCAAGGUUCCAUCGUCCGGUGACAACAAAUCUGCCAACCGGGCGUCAGCAACAACAACAGCCAUCUGGGCCUGGGUCGAUCAGCAUCCUGGUCGCCAGCGGGUAUCGCAGAAGCAAGGCUCCGUGGUCCGGUGACUACUGACCGUCAAAGUGGCAUCAGCAAAGCUGCAGUCGUCGAGGGAGAAAACCUUUCGACAUCAAAAGUGGUUGCCGCAUUUGGAGCGGCGCAGGACUCCGCGUCAGGAAAAAACAUUGGAUCGUCACCAAGGUCAGGAAGUGCCGUGCCAAGUGUUACCGUUCGGCGCUAGGUGGCAGCACCAGCAGGAGUUUCGGUGCCUAGGGCAUUGCAUGCUUCAUCCGGAUCUCCCGGACGUGCGAAGAACAGAUUAUUGGUGUGGCAUGCUCGACAAUCCACCAAUGCUCUUAUCAGGAAUUGAAGGCGCUUACGAGGAGGCCGGCGCGCUUUCUCACAUGCAUGUUCCAGUUGCGGAAAAUCGUUGCUGCUAAGCGGCGCUCGUUUCGCUGCAUGCUGCAGAGGUCACGCGAUGACAAGAAGUAAGUGCCCGUAAUAAUUUCCCUGAAUACAUGCAAAGUAAUGAACACCAAUUUUGAUUUUGUGGUGGCCUAUCUUGUUCUUGUGGAGUUCCUUCCGUUGCCUUUGCGCACGUCCACACUUUAGUCAAUAUUAUACAAUCAUGUAACACUUUUCAAUCAAAACUCACCUUUGACUUGAUGUCUGGUUGAUAGAAUAUAAAGGAAAAUAAUUGUAAUAAUCUUACCAAAAUUUGUGAAAUAGAGUCUCACUUUGCUUCAGUAUACGAAAACAGACAGACUCCAAUUUGACAACUUGAAUGUUGAUUAUCCAGCAAACCACAGCAAACUAGACCAAUUGCUGGAAAGUCCAACAAUUCAAAACCCGACUGCUGAUUUUUCAGCAAAAAUAACAAGCACACCACCGAAUGUUGAAAAAUCCAGCAAUUAGAAAACCGAUUGUUGGCUGCCAGCAAAAAUUUGGAUUGCUGAACGUUUCCAGCAAUUUUUUUUUGCUGGAAAUCGAGGCAAAAAUUUGCUGUGUAAAUGAUGUGACCGACACAGUGAUUACAUCUCAUUUCUAUAGAAGUAUGAACGGUACUGAAUGCUUUCUUUUUUUUCUUUCAGUAACAUCCCAAACACUGUUCCAUUUAUUGAUUUUUUUUAUCAAUUCAUUUUCGAACUCAGUGGUCGAUUUUUCAUGAAAAACGAUUUUAAGUUUACUAAGUUAACAAAUGCUGGUAACUAGUGUAUUAAAACACAAAAAGAGCUUGUUUACUUAAAAUCUUAAGGUUUGAGCCGUUUCAAAUAAACAAGCUUAAAAAACUUAUAUUGGCAAACAAUCGCUUUGAACGAAGCCUAAGCUAAACAAGUGGUUUAAGACUCUCCAAUCAUUUUUUUCUCAUGCAUCUGUAAGCUGUUGGAGUUUUGUUGACUAUUUACCGUCUCUAUAUAAAUCUAUUGACCUCAGUUGUGUUGGUUUGACAGAUCUAGCAUUCUGUAGGUUUUUUCCAGUCUAUUUGUUGAUAUUUAAACAUAAAAACAUACACCACAUACACAGCA